UACGAAGGGGGCUAGCGUUGUUCGGAAUUACUGGGCGUAAAGCGCGCGUAGGCGGUUUUGCAAGCCAGAGGUGAAAUGCCUGAGCUCAACUCAGGAAUGGCCUUUGGGACUGCGAGGCUUUGAGGACUGGAGAGGUGAGUGGAAUUCCGAGUGUAGAGGUGAAAUUCGUAGAUAUUCGGAAGAACACCAGUGGCGAAGGCGACUCGCUGGACAAGUAUUGACGCUGAGGUGCGAAAGCGUGGGGAGCAAACAGG
rnacentral:rRNA from 1 species